AGUUUAUUCAUAGUCCAGCAUUAUCAUAUUAUUAAAUAUGGAAAAAAAGUUCAAAAAAACCCAUGCACUUUCAAUUGAGGGCCAAAUAAGCCCCAAAUCAAGUUUUGGAUAAAUAAGGGCUGAAUUUUCUAAUUAAGGCCAAUAGACCUAAUUUUUUAUCAAAAAGAUUAAAAUAUUAUUUUCUCUGAUUUUUUAAUAAUACAAUAUUAGUUUUAUGUUUUAAAUUUUUAAAAUAAUUAUCAUUUGUUCAUCAUGUUCUUCAAUUUCUUAUUUUAUUUUAUUUUAUGUUAUUUUUGGAGUGGAGGGUGUUGAUAUGAUGAAAAAUGAUAGUAAAUUUAUUGAUCCAUCAUUAUGUAGAUGGGCAUAUUCCACCCAGUUGCCUAAUCUAUGCUGUUUUGAAAAAUUACUAAUUGCUUAAAUAGAAGAAAAACCAUUGUGCCAAGAAACCACAAAAGCAAAUGCAAAUGCCUUAAAGGUGUAAAAGCACAAAUAAAAGCCCG
rnacentral:misc_RNA from 1 species